rnacentral:lncRNA from 10 species
CCCUAGUACCAAGUAGUGAAUGAAGCAGAGCCUUCGAAGCCAGAAGGUCUAGACUGAAAGCACAGCUCGCCACCUGCUCACCAAUGAACCUGGGAAAGUUGCUUACCCUUUGGAAUCCUCAGCUUACUUCUCUGAAAGAUGAGAAAAAUAGUAAUGGAGGAAAUGGAAGGAAAAAGGAUGGCCAUAAGUUGGAGGCAGGUAUGUUAACAGUGUCCCUACUUGCAGCAGGCGGGCAAGACAUAUAGCUCAAGGUUUUCCAGAAACCUGACCAAUGAUAGGAAAUGGGUCGGCGAUAAUAUUCAUAGAGUCCAGAAGAUAAAAGCAAACUGAUUGCUCAGAAGACACACAAAUGGCCCCUAUCUAACGCAUGUGGCCUUGGACAAGUCACUUCUCUCUCAUUCUCUAUCUUCUGUACAAAGGGAGUGAUUACAAUAAUGUCCCCAUCACAGGGCACUUAUGCAGGUCAAGGAAGUAGACAAAUGCAGCAGUCACUGUGCCUAGAACCCAGAAGAUGCUGUAUCAAUGUUCAUUCUCCUGUCUUUCUUGCGGUCUUUUGUUCUCCCUCCAUUUACUGAAGGCAGAGUCUUGGAGUGUGGGUGUUUAACUAUAAAGUCAUUGGCAACCAAGCAGCUGCCCAACCAGCUCAUUAUGACCUAAAAAGAAAAAAGGAGCUUUGCAAGGAAGCUUUGCAAGCACGCCAGCUCCUGAAUUUCAUGAGCAGUGGGCAGCUGAAUGGUGAGUUCUCGCCUGAGCUUGGCUUGAAAUGCACGUAAGAAUGAAAGGGGCCUCCAGCACAGUCCACCUCUUGCCACUCUGUUAUAGUGCUGUGCCCUGGGAUAUUCAGGAAAGUUACGCUGUUCCAUCAUCUCCUGCAGCCGAGAAACACAAUUGAUUUUCCUGGCCUCAUUUCUGUUAUAAAGAACAAUUUCCCCCAGGGAUCCCCAGAGAACUAAAAUGGAGAAAAUGUCAUUCAUAUUUUACCAUGCAAGCCAAAGCCUAAUUGUUCACUGGACAAUAGAUACAAGCUGAAUGCCUAGCCCUUCGCUGGCCCUGGGCCAGGCACAUGGGAGUCAGGGAUGACGUAUACGUGGUGUCGGCUCUCAGGAAAGACUCAUAGAAGGCAAGGUGAAAGACCCAAAUUCAUGGAAGAGAAGUGAGUCACACAGGGAGCCAGUGGCAGAGCCACACCCCACAGAGCAAUCAACAUGCUCUACUCUGCAGACCUGCAACAGGGAGGGAAGCCAGACUCUGAUGCAAGAAGGAAAGACCAUGUGCUGGCUCAGUGUGUGCAGCCUGGACUGAGCUACUGAACUCUAAAUCCAAGGAUGACUAAUGUAAGCCUAAAGGGUAAUCUGCAAAUACUGCUCCAUUAAUAUUCAAUGAUAAAUGAUAUUGCUUUAGAAUCAAAUUCACAUAAACAGAAGCUUCAGCUGUAUGUCCGCACCCUGGGAACAUUAAAUUGUAAGCCACGUCUUGUACUUCCAUGAAUCAUCCAUACCAUCUACCCCAAGGCUCCGGACAUGGAAGCUACUGUGUAAACACUUAUUGACUGAAUGGGGCCACUCGAAAAAAUUGCUGAAGGGAGUUACAAUUAAGAGAAUGGCAAUGGGUGCAUUUCUAAAUGUAAUCUUUCAAAGCUUCAGACAGGUGGUCGGGUACAAAUGAAAUUUAUUUGUACGUUAAUUCUUCACAUAUUUACUGAAAACUACCCACAUCCUUCCAAAUGCUAAGAUGAUUUUGUGGGUUAAUUCUGUUUUUAAAAAAUAUAUAAAGAAACAGAUUAUUUCUCUACUGUCAAAUUUUCCAGGACAUGGAGAAAGAAAAAUGCAUGUACAUUCUCUCUCUUUUUUUUUUUUUUUUUUUUUGAGUCGGAGUCUCACUGCUGCUCAGGCUGGAGUGCAGUGGUGCCAUCUUGGCUCACUGCAAGCUCUGCCUCCCGGGUUCAUGCCAUUCUCCUGCCUCAGCCUCCCAAGUAACUGGGACUACAGGUGCCCACCACCACAUCUGGCUAAUUUUUUGUAUUUUUAGUAGAGAUGGGGUUUCACCUUGUUAGCCAGGAUGGUCUUGAUCUCCUGACCUCAUGAUCUGCCUGCACAUUCUUUUUAAAAAAAUGCUCGUACAUUCUUUUUACAGAGGCAGAAUGACAUUAAUACCAGACCUGAUGAAGACAGCACAAAAAGUAAAUCUCAACACAACCUCACAAUAUUAAUAAAGCAAAAAUUUUAAAUACAGUAAUGUAUUAGCAAACAGAACUCCAUGGUACACCAUGACCAAAUGAGGACAUGUAAGAAUGGCUUAAUAUCUGAAAAUAUAUUAGUAUAAUUUAUCAUAAUGCCAAGUCAAAGAAGACAAACCAUAUCACCAUGUCCGUAAAUGCAGAAAGGGUAUUUGGGGGGGAAAAAAACAUCAAAAUGUAAAUGCUAAAACACUAGAAAUAGCAAAUCUGAAAGUACUGACCACUGCAAUUAGACAGGAAAAUGACAUCAGGAGUCUAAAAAUUGCAAACAGGAAAUAACAUAAGAAAACUAAAUAUCAGAAAAAGAGGAGCAAUAUUAGAAUUACAGGCAGAUGGAACAAUUGUAUAUUCCUUAUAAACAUAAAGAAUCAAAAUUUUAAAGAAAUUAUUAGAAAUAAUAAGAGAAGUUGGUAACUGGAGGCAAAUAAAUAUACAAAAUUCAAAAGCAUUUUUAUUAAGUAUAAAUAAUACCCAGUUAAAAAACAACAAAAGAAAAGAUUCCUUGUACAAUAUCAACAACAAAAAAAAAACAGGUAAAAUACUUUGGAAUAAAUUUAACAAGAACUGCAAAAAUGAUCUUACAGCUCAACUGAAAGUGAUGAAAGUCUUCAACAGAUGCAAUCUUGCUUCUAGAUAGAAAAUCUCAAUAUUUUACGCCAGGCGUGGUGGCUCACAUCUGUAAUCCUAGCACUUUGGGAGACCAAGGCGGGCGGAUCACCUGAGAUCAGGAAUUUAAGACCAGCCUGGCCAAUAUGGUAAAACCCCAUCUUUACUAAAAAAUACAAAAAUUAGCCAGGUGUAGUGGCACGUGCCUGUAAUCCCAGCUACUCAGGAGGCUGAGGCACAACCAUCACUUGAACCCGGGAGGUGGAGGUUGCAGUGAGCCAAGAUCACACCACUGUACCCCAGCCUGGACGACAGAACAGACUCUGUCAAGAAAGAAAAGAAAGAAAAGAAAGAAAAGAAAGAGAGAGAGAGAGAGAGAGAGAGAAAGAAAGAAAGAGGGAAAGAAAGAAAGAGGGAAAGAAAGAAAGAGGGAAAGAAAGAAAAUCUCAAUAUUUUAAAGACGUAGCAUCUCCUCAAAUUGAAAUCUAUAAAUUUAUGUAAUCCAAGUAAACAGUAACAGUAGUAAAAUAUCCACAUACAUAUGGUUAUAUAUAAUAAGGUUAAUUUAUAUAUAGGGUUAUAUAUAACAUUUUAUAUAUAUAUAACAUAUAUAAAUAUAUAUAUUUACCUGCAAAAGUGAAAUGCAAGAAUGGGUAAGGAGUGAAAGGAAUGAGAGAAGAAUAAUUUACACAGAUAUAAAGAUGUGUAACAAAGCUGUAACUGAAAGAAUUUGGUAUACAAUAACAAAAAACAGUCAGUUCAAUAGAAGAAAAGAGAGAACAGAAGUAGACUGAAACCCAUAUGGAAAUGCAGUAGCUUUUUUAAAGGUUGUAUGUCAAGUCAGAGAGGGAAAAGAUUAAUAAAUGAUCUUAGAACACCUGACAAACUGCCAUUCAAAAACAAAUAAACUUGGAUUCCCAGCUUGCUCUUCACACAGAGACAAAUUCCAAAUGAAUCAAAAUUGUAACAUAUAAAACACAAUCAUAAAAGCACCAGAAGAAAACAUAAAUUUAGGGUGGGAGAUGGCCUUAAUUUUUAAAGUCAAAUGUAUCAAUAUUUUCCCUCAUGCCUUGUGGAGUCCAUGAUUAAUUUGAGUUAAAGCAAAAGUUAGAAAUAUUGUAGAAUGAAAAAAGCAGUUACACCAUAAACAAAACCAAAAGGCAAAGGACGACUGAGGAAAUAACAAACAAGGGAGAAAAACUAAGUCUGUAGCUUUGGGAGGUAGCAACACAAAUCAGGAGGAAGGAACAAAUGGUCCAGCCAGAUAAGAAUUUUUCCAGAAAAGAACCAAUGAUCAAACAGGCA